CAAUGAAAGAAUCAUGGUAAUGUGCACAUAAAUUGAAUUGAGUCUCUAUGCCAGCUCUCUCUGAUGCCAUUCAGCUUUGACUUGGGGGCAUGGUUUCGUAGCAAAACA